rnacentral:rRNA from 1 species
GCUCCACCGGAAAAAGAGGAGUGGCGAACGGGUGAGUAACACGUGGGUAACCUGCCCAUCAGAAGGGGAUAACACUUGGAAACAGGUGCUAAUACCGUAUAACAAUCGAAACCGCAUGGUUUUGAUUUGAAAGGCGCUUUCGGGUGUCGCUGAUGGAUGGACCCGCGGUGCAUUAGCUAGUUGGUGAGGUAACGGCUCACCAAGGCGACGAUGCAUAGCCGACCUGAGAGGGUGAUCGGCCACAUUGGGACUGAGACACGGCCCAAACUCCUACGGGAGGCAGCAGUAGGGAAUCUUCGGCAAUGGACGAAAGUCUGACCGAGCAACGCCGCGUGAGUGAAGAAGGUUUUCGGAUCGUAAAACUCUGUUGUUAGAGAAGAACAAGGAUGAGAGUAACUGUUCAUCCCUUGACGGUAUCUAACCAGAAAGCCACGGCUAACUACGUGCCAGCAGCCGCGGUAAUACGUAGGUGGCAAGCGUUGUCCGGAUUUAUUGGGCGUAAAGCGAGCGCAGGCGGUUUCUUAAGUCUGAUGUGAAAGCCCCCGGCUCAACCGGGGAGGGUCAUUGGAAACUGGGAGACUUGAGUGCAGAAGAGGAGAGUGGAAUUCCAUGUGUAGCGGUGAAAUGCGUAGAUAUAUGGAGGAACACCAGUGGCGAAGGCGGCUCUCUGGUCUGUAACUGACGCUGAGGCUCGAAAGCG